GAUGAACGCUAGCGGCAGGCCUAAUACAUGCAAGUCGGACGGGAUUUGGGAGCUUGCUCCUAAUGAGAGUGGCGCACGGGUGCGUAACACGUAUGUAACCUACCUUAAUCAGGGGGAUAGCCUCUCGAAAGAGAGAUUAACACCGCAUAAUAUAUUUUUAUGGCAUCGUAGGCAUAUCAAAUAUUUAUAGGAUUAAGAUGGGCAUGCGGAACAUUAGCUAGUUGGUAAGGUAACGGCUUACCAAGGCUACGAUGUUUAGGGGAUCUGAGUGGAUGACCCCCCAAACUGGUACUGAGACACGGACCAGACUCCUACGGGAGGCAGCAGUAAGGAAUAUUGGUCAAUGGGCGCAAGCCUGAACCAGCCAUGCCGCGGGCAGGAAGACGGCCCUAUGGGUUGUAAACUGCUUUUGUACCGGAAUAAACCCCCAGACGUGUCUGGGGCUGAAUGUACGGUAAGAAUAAGGAUCGGCUAACUCCGUGCCAGCCGCCGCCGUAA
rnacentral:rRNA from 1 species